rnacentral:rRNA from 1 species
AUUGAACGCUGGCGGCAUGCCUUACACAUGCAAGUCGAACGGCAGCACGGGGGCAACCCUGGUGGCGAGUGGCGAACGGGUGAGUAAUACAUCGGAACGUGCCCGGUAGUGGGGGAUAGCUCGGCGAAAGCCGGAUUAAUACCGCAUACGACCUACGGGUGAAAGCGGGGGAUCGCAAGACCUCGCGCUACCGGAGCGGCCGAUGUCAGAUUAGGUUGUUGGUGGGGUAAAGGCCUACCAAGCCGACGAUCUGUAGCUGGUCUGAGAGGACGACCAGCCACACUGGGACUGAGACACGGCCCAGACUCCUACGGGAGGCAGCAGUGGGGAAUUUUGGACAAUGGGCGAAAGCCUGAUCCAGCCAUGCCGCGUGCGGGAAGAAGGCCUUCGGUUGUAACCGUACG